UACGGAAGGCAGCAGUGGGGAAUAUUGCACAAUGGGCGCAAGCCUGAUGCAGCCAUGCCGCGUGUAUGAAGAAGGCCUUCGGGUUGUAAAGUACUUUCAGUCGUGAGGAAGGUGUUAAGGUUAAUAACCUUAGCAAUUGACGUUAGCGACAGAAGAAGCACCGGCUAACUCCGUGCCAGCAGCCGCGGUAAUACGGAGGGUGCGAGCGUUAAUCGGAAUUACUGGGCGUAAAGGGCACGCAGGCGGUUAAUUAAGUUGGAUGUGAAAUCCCCGGGCUAACCUGGGAAUGGCAUUCAAGACUGGUUAGCUAGAGUCUUGUAGAGGGGGUAGAAUUCCAUGUGUAGCGGUGAAAUGCGUAGAGAUGUGGAGGAAUACCGGGUGGCGAAGGCGGCCCCUGGGACAAAGACUGACGCUCAUGUGCGAAAGCGUGGGGAGCAAACAGGAUUAGAUACC
rnacentral:rRNA from 1 species